rnacentral:rRNA from 1 species
UCUAAUGACUCUCGGCAAUGGAUAUCUCGGCUCUUGCAUCGAUGAAGAACGUAGUGAAAUGCGAUACUUGGUGUGAAUUGCAGAAUCUCGUGAACCAUUGAGUCUUUGAACGCAAGUUGUGCCCGAGGCCUUGUGGCCGAGGGCACGCCUGCUUGGGCGUCAUGG